UACUUUUGCACUCGAAUACGAAAAACGUAUUCAUACAUAAUAAUCAUUUAAAUAAUAUUGGAAUG
ncrna:unclassified sequences S15-Flavobacteria ribosomal protein leader